rnacentral:rRNA from 1 species
CCUACGGGAGGCAGCAGUGGGGGAUAUUGCACAAUGGGGGAAACCCUGAUGCAGCGACGCCGCGUGAGUGAAGAAGUAUUUCGGUAUGUAAAGCUCUAUCAGCAGGGAAGAAAAUGACAGUACCUGACCAAGAAGCCCCGGCUACCUCCGUGCCAGCAGCCGCGGUCAUACGGAGGGGGCAAGCGUUAGCCGGGUUUACUGGGGGUAAGGGGAGCGUAGACGGUUAGGGAAGUCUGGGGUGAAAGCCCGGGGCCCAACCCCGGGACGGCAUUGGAAACUGUUAGACUGGAGUAAAGGAGGGGCAGGCGGAAUUCCUGGUGUAGCGGUGAAAUGCGUAGAUAUCAGGAGGAACACCGGCGGCGAAGGCGGGCUGCUGGACUGAAACUGACGUUGAGGCUCGAAGGCGUGGGGAGCAAACGGGAUUAGAUACCCCUGUAGUC